rnacentral:rRNA from 1 species
CGGAGAGGGCGCCUGAGCCCCUUUUACCACAUCCAAGGAAGGCAGCAGGCGCGCAAAUUACCCAAUCCCAACACGGGGAGGUAGUGACAAUAUGUAACAAUAUACGGCCUUAUACGUCGUAUAAUUGGAAUGAGUACAAUUUAAAUCCCUUAACGAGGAACAAUUGGAGGGCAAGUCUGGUGCCAGCAGCCGCGGUAAUUCCAGCUCCAAUAGCGUAUAUUAAAGUUGUUGCAGUUAAAAAGCUCGUAGUUGGACCUUGGACCUGGACAGGCGGUCCGCCUCACGGCGAGUACUGUCUUGCUGGGUCUUUCCUCUUGGUGAUCUGUUGUUUCGGCAGCAGGGAACCAGGACCUUUACUUUGAAAAAAUUAUAGUGUUCAAAGCAGGCUCGACGCCGGAAUAUAUUAGCAUGGAAUAAUAAAAUAGGACGUGCGGUUCUAUUUUGUUGGUUUUUGGAAUCGCCGUAAUGAUUAAUACGGACAGUCGGGGGCAUUAGUACUCACAUGCUAGAGGUGAAAUUCUUGGAUUUUGUGAAGACUACCUUCUGCGAAAGCAUUUGCCAAGGAUGUUUUCAUUAAUCAAGAACCAAGGUUAGGGUAUAUAAACCCAUUAGAUACCGUUGUAGUCUUAACAGUAAACUAUGCCGACUAGGGAAUCGGCCGAUGUUAUCUUUUUUGACUCCAUCGGCACCUUACGAAAAAUCAAAAGUUUUUGGGGUUUCUUGGG